UACGGAGGGUGCGAGCGUUGUCCGGAAUUAUUGGGCGUAAAGAGCUCGUAGGCGGCUUGUCGCGUCGGCUGUGAAAACCUGGGGCUCAACCCCCGGGCCUGCAGCCGAUACGGGCAGACUAGAGGUAUGCAGGGGAGAAUGGAAUUCCUGGUGUAGCGGUGAAAUGCGCAGAUAUCAGGAGGAACACCGGUGGCGAAGGCGGUUCUCUGGGCAUUACCUGACGCUGAGGAGCGAAAGUGUGGGGAGCGAACAGG
rnacentral:rRNA from 1 species